GUGGGGAAUCUUAGACAAUGGGGGAAACCCUGAUCUAGCCAUGCCGCGUGAGCGAUGAAGGCCUUAGGGUUGUAAAGCUCUUUCAGCUGGGAAGAUAAUGACUGUACCAGCAGAAGAAGCCCCGGCUAACUCCGUGCCAGCAGCCGCGGUAAUACGGAGGGGGCUAGCGUUGUUCGGAAUUACUGGGCGUAAAGCGCACGUAGGCGGACCGGAAAGUCAGAGGUGAAAUCCCAGGGCUCAACCUUGGAACUGCCUUUGAAACUCCUGGUCUUGAGGUCGAGAGAGGUGAGUGGAAUUCCGAGUGUAGAGGUGAAAUUCGUAGAUAUUCGGAGGAACACCAGUGGCGAAGGCGGCUCACUGGCUCGAUACUGACGCUGAGGUGCGAAAGCGUGGGGAGCAAACAGGAUUAGAUACCCGGGUAGUCC
rnacentral:rRNA from 1 species